rnacentral:tRNA from 1 species
GGGAGGAUGGCCGAGUUGGUUAUGGCGUCAGGUUAAGGCCAAAGUCUUGACACUACGUUUCCUGAUGGGAGCAAUCCCUCGUGGGUUCAAAUCCCACUCCUCUCA